rnacentral:rRNA from 1 species
UCGGGAAUUUUGCGCAAUGGACGAAAGUCUGACGCAGCAACGCCGCGUGAGGGAUGAAGGCCUUCGGGUUGUAAACCUCUUUUCUCAGGGACGAUAAUGACGGUACCUGAGGAAUAAGCCACGGCUAACUACGUGCCAGCAGCCGCGGUAAUACGUAGGUGGCGAGCGUUGUCCGGAUUUACUGGGCGUAAAGAGCACGCAGGCGGUCGGUCAAGUCGAAUGUGAAAGCCCCCGGCUCAACUGGGGAGGGUCAUUCGAUACUGGUCGACUUGAAGGCGGGAGAGGGUAGUGGAAUUCCCGGUGUAGUGGUGAAAUGCGUAGAUAUCAGGAGGAACACCAGUGGCGAAGGCGACUACCUGGCCCGUUCUUGACGCUCAUGUGCGAAAGCUAGGGGAGCAAACGGGAUUAGAUACCCCGGUAGUCCUAGCUGUAAACGAUGGACACUAGGUGUUGGUGGUAUCAACCCCGCCAGUGCCGAAGCUAACGCAUUAAGUGUCCCGCCU